GCUUAUACUCGACCGUCAGCGGCACGUGCGAUCGCGCGAGCGAUCACGAAGCCCUGACGAGUAGGAGGGUCGCGGCGGUGAGCGCAGAAGGGCUGGCCGCGAGGCCGUCUGGAGCCGCCGUCGGUGCAGAUCUUGGUGGUAGUAGCAAAUACUCCAGCGAGGCCCUGGAGGACUGACGUGGAGAAGGGUUUCGUGUGAACAGCCGUUGCACACGAGUCAGUCGAUCCUAAGCCCUAGGCGAAAGCCGAUGUCGAUGCGGUGUAGCUUUAUGAUACGAAACACGUGUAAGUACGUACGUGCGUGCGUGCGUGCACGCGUGUACGUAACACGAGAUAUAAUCGUAACGUUUACGCACACACCCAUCGGGCGAAAGGGAAUCCGGUUCCUAUUCCGGAACCUGGCAGCGGAACCGUAAAAAAGUCGGGC
rnacentral:rRNA from 1 species